GUUCAAAAGUUUGUGGGUUUUGAAAGAAGUCUCUUAUGCUCACCAAUGUUACGUUUAUUAGAAUAAAAAUACAGUAAAAACAGCCAUUUUGUGAGAUAUUGUUACAACUUAAACAGUUUUCUGGGUUAUUUCAUGCUUUUUCCACUUUUUUCCACUUUUCCAAAAAUGAUAAAUAAAAUAAAUUUAAUCAAGACUUUUUAAACAUUCAUGAAAUGAAGACACCUUAAAAUGGCAAGAAAUUGUAUUGUGCCAUCUCAGGCAAUGUAAUUUAUUAUUUUAUGACUAUUUUUCUAACUUAUGUUUUGUUUUGUUUUUUUAUAUUUGCUUUUUUAUUCAUUUGCAGCAUAUUUUCUCAAUAUUAGAGUAAUACAUUAAAAUAAUAAAUUUUAUUUUCAUUCAGAUUUAUUUUAAAGUGUUUUGUAAUAAGUAAAUGAAUAAAAAAAAUCAGUCUUUCAAAAUCUCUCUCAAGUUUCCAUGGCAUUUUGUCAUGAUCUCUACAUGCAUGUUCUCAAACUCUAUCUCAAUCUAUGUAUCUCUUCUUUUAAUGUGAUGUCAUAAUAUCACAUUAUCUAUAAUGAAUGAGCAUUUAUUCAGGUUUCCAGAACUUCCUCUUCACUCACUUUCCAUCUGUUAGAGUCUGAUGGCUUGUUGAUAGAGUGACUCAGCUCUUGGUUAUGUAGAGAGUAUCCAUGCAGACACCCGCUUCUGUUUGUCUAAGAAUCUCGAGUUCCAGUGAGAUUUGGCUGUGUUUAGGUUUGGCUUGGGUACCGUCUCCAUUCUCAGAUUCAUGAAGAUAGAGGAGGACACUGUCUACUCUCUAAUGUGCCAACCUACUCUUGAACCGAAUCAACCUGGCCCUUUUCCUUUCGACAAAAGACACUUUGGUGUAGAAUGGAGCUCUCCCACGCUCUCCAGAACAACCUGCACAAAGAUGCAGCCUCCCACCUGCAUUAAAAUACUGCUGUAUCUGUAAUGCACUGUAUACUCUAUAAUCAGCUCAGACAUACAACAGCCAUAUGUUUGUAAAUGCUACUGGCUGAUAUAUACGUAUGAAACUAUCAAAGCUAUCAAUUAAAAACAUAAUACACUUAGAGUUUCAUACUAUUUAAUAAUGCAGUUCUUAACUUUUAGAUAACGUUGAAGCAAAUUGUUUCUUUGACAACAAUAUGUUUUUUGGAUAUGAUCAUAUUUACUUAAAGUUAAAGGCAGUACACAAAGCAUAAAGUUUUUUUAUAUAUGUAACACAUAUAUAAAUGCAAUGUUAAGGCAGUUAUUCUUGGCGAAUACACUUUAAAUUCAACAAUCCCUGAUAGUUUUACAUAAGAAAUAUAAAUGCUAGAGCCAUCGUUUUCAUUUUAUUUCAGUUAUAAUAUAGUGGC
ensembl:lncRNA